rnacentral:rRNA from 1 species
UACGUAGGGGGCAAGCGUUGUUCGGAAUUACUGGGCGUAAAGGGCGCGUAGGCGGCACAGCAAGUCGGAAGUGAAAGCCCGGGGCUCAACCCCGGAAUGUCUUUCGAAACUGCUGAGCUAGAGUGCAGAAGAGGCAACUGGAAUUCCCAGUGUAGCGGUGAAAUACGUAGAUAUUGGGAAGAACACCUGAGGCGAAGGCGGGUUGCUGGGCUGACACUGACGCUGAGGCGCGAAAGCCAGGGGAGCGAACGGG